CUGUAAUCUUACUAUAUAGUCAUGGAGCUGUGUGGGAUAACAUUAAGUGGUAUGAGUGAUUUCUGUGAACUUAAAAAGUGGAUGGGAUGGGAGAACAGAUUCCAUCAGAACAGUUUGCAUGGUUUCUGAUAAGGGAUUAACUUUCCCCCUCCAAGUCAUGAUGGUCUACAUCAAUGUACACAUUGAUUAAGAGGAGUGGGCUUGUGAGAUAGCGAGAAGUGAGCUGUUGAUAUGGUGAUAUCAAAAGGCUAUCCACUGACCAGAUUUCUCAUGGUUCUUAUACCCAUGGGUCUUACAACAAUAAGAUGACUAUGCGGGGCUGGAUAUCAGCUAUAUGACCAUAUGGGCAAGUGACGUCGUUGCUGUGUACUCAUUCUUCACAGAUAGCUGAGUGUGUGCCGGAUAAGUGAUAUUUACAAAGAGUCAUAUCACAUAACCAUACAA